GCAGGGCUCGAGUCCUGCAGGAACGCAUGGGAACGGCGUUCCUGCACUUUUUCCAAAGCAGGAACGCCGUUCCCGCUAGUGAUCCUGCAGGAGAUGUGCCUGCUCACACUACUCUCCCCUGCGGUAGUUUACUGAUGAGUGAGUAAAGACUGCAGUGGGCGGGGCGUUUAACAUCACUUCCUGUCAGGCCCUGCUAGAGGAUUACCGAGCAGGGAGAGCUAAGAACAUCUCUUUUCAGAUAAUUACACACCACCAACGGUA